rnacentral:rRNA from 1 species
CCCUUAGAUGUCCUGGGCCGCACGCGCGCUACACUGAUGAAUUCAACGAGCUCCUAACCUAGGCCGAAGGGUCCGGGUAAUCUUUGAAAUUUCAUCGUGAUGGGGAUAGAUUAUUGCAAUUAUUAAUCUUCAACGAGGAAUUCCUAGUAAGCGCGAGUCAUCAGCUCGCGUUGAUUACGUCCCUGCCCUUUGUACACACCGCCCGUCGCUCCUACCGAUUGAAUGGUCCGGUGAAAUGUUCGGACCGCGACAAGGCGGACGGUUCGCUGUCAGCUUUGCUGCGGGAAGUUCAUUAAACCUUAUCAUUUAGAGGAAGGAGAAGUCGUANCA